GACGAACGCUGGCGGCGUGCUUAACACAUGCGAGUCGAACGGAAAGGCCCCCUUGUGGGGUACUCGAGUGGCGAACGGGUGAGUAACACGUGAGUAACCUACCCUUGACUUUGGGAUAACUUCAGGAAACUGGGGCUAAUACCGGAUAGGAGCUCCUGCUGCAUGGUGGGGGUUGGAAAGUUUCGGCGGUUGGGGAUGGACUCGCGGCUUAUCAGCUUGUUGGUGGGGUAGUGGCUCACCAAGGCUUUGACGGGUAGCCGGCCUGAGAGGGUGACCGGCCACAUUGGGACUGAGAUACGGCCCAGACUCCUACGGGAGGCAGCAGUGGGGAAUAUUGCACAAUGGGCGGAAGCCUGAUGCAGCAACGCCGCGUGCGGGAUGACGGCCUUCGGGUUGUAAACCGCUUUCGCCUGUGACGAAGCGUGAGUGACGGUAAUGGGUAAAGAAGCACCGGCUAACUACGUG
rnacentral:rRNA from 1 species